rnacentral:tRNA from 1 species
UAGCUGAUUGGUUAAAGCGUUCAACUUAUAAUUGAAAUAAAUUCGUAGGUUUAAUUCCUAC